rnacentral:rRNA from 1 species
GUGCCAGCAGCCGCGGUAAUACGAAGGGGGCUAGCGUUGCUCGGAAUUACUGGGCGUAAAGGGCGCGUAGGCGGACAGUUAAGUUGGGGGUGAAAGCCCGGGGCUCAACCUCGGAAUUGCCUUCAAUACUGGCUGUCUUGAGUACGGGAGAGGUGAGUGGAACUCCGAGUGUAGAGGUGAAAUUCGUAGAUAUUCGGAAGAACACCAGUGGCAAAGGCGACUCACUGGCCCGUUACUGACGCUGAGGCGCGAAAGCGUGGGGAGCAAACAGGAUUAGAUACCCUGGUAGUCCACGCCGUAAACGAUGAGUGCUCGUUGUCGGCAUGCAUGCAUGUCGGUGACGCAGCUAACGCAUUAAGCACUCCGCCUGGGGAGUACGGUCGCAAGAUUAA